UACGUAGGAUGCGAGCGUUUUCCGGAAUUAUUGGGCGUAAAGAGCUUGUUGGCUGUUUGUCUCGUCUGCCGUGAAAAUCCGGGGCUCAACCCCGGACUUGCGGUGGGUACGGGCAGACUAGAGUGUGGUAGGGGAGACUGGAAUUCCUGGUGUAGCGGUGAAAUGCGCAGAUAUCAGGAGGAACACCGGUGGCGAAGGCGGGUCUCUGGGCAGUAACUGACGCUGAGGAGCGAAAGCGUGGGGAGCGAACAGG
rnacentral:rRNA from 1 species